rnacentral:rRNA from 1 species
GAAUAUUGGUCAAUGGACGAAAGUCUGAACCAGCCAUGCCGCGUGCAGGAUGACUGCCCUACGGGUUGUAAACUGCUUUUAUAUAGGAAGAAACCCCUCUACGUGUAGAGGGCUGACGGUACUAUAAGAAUAAGGACCGGCUAACUCCGUGCCAGCGGCCGCGGUAAUACGGAGGGUCCAAGCGUUAUCCGGAUUCAUUGGGUUUAAAGGGUACGUAGGCGGAGCUUUAAGUCAGUAGUGAAAGCCCAUUGCUUAACAAUGGAACUGCUAUUGAUACUGGAGUUCUUGAAUAUAGUUGAAGUUGGCGGAAUACGGCAUGUAGCGGUGAAAUGCAUAGAUAUGCCGUGGAACACCGAUCGCGAAGGCAGCUAACUAAGCUAUUAUUGACGCUGAGGUACGAAAGCGUGGGGAGCGAACAGG